UACGUAGGGGGCAAGCGUUGUCCGGAUUUAUUGGGCGUAAAGAGCGUGUAGGCGGCCUGACAGGUCUGCUGUGAAAACUCGAGGCUCAACCUCGAGAUGUCGGCGGAAACCGUCUGGCUAGAGUCCGGAAGAGGAGAGUGGAAUUCCUGGUGUAGCGGUGAAAUGCGCAGAUAUCGGGAGGAACACCAGUAGCGAAGGCGGCUCGCUGGGCCAUACCUGACGCUGAGACGCGAAAGCGUGGGGAGCGAACAGG
rnacentral:rRNA from 1 species